rnacentral:rRNA from 1 species
UACGGGGGGGGCAAGCGUUGUUCGGAAUUACUGGGCGUAAAGGGCUCGUAGGUGGCCAACUAAGUCAGACGUGAAAUCCCUCAGCUUAACUGGGGAACUGCGUCUGAUACUGGAUGGCUUGAGUUUGGGAGAGGGAUGCGGAAUUCCAGGUGUAGCGGUGAAAUGCGCAGAUAUCGGGAGGAACACCGGUGGCGAAGGCGGUUCUCUGGGCCUUACCUGACGCUGAGGAGCGAAAGCGUGGGGAGCGAACAGG